AGAUUGAACGCUGGUCGGUCAUGCCUAACACAUGCAAGUCGAGCGGCAGCGCGGGGGCGACCCUGGCGGCGAGCGGCGGACGGGUGAGUAAGGCAUCGGAAUCUGCCCUGAUGUGGGGGAUAACGUAGGGAAACUUACGCUAAUACCGCAUACGACCGAGAGGUGAAAAGCGGGGGGACCGAAAGGCCUCGCGCUGGUGGAUGAGCCUACGUCCGAUUAGUUAGUUGGUGGGGUAACGGCCUACCCAAGGCGACGAUCGGUAGCUGGUCUGAGAGGAUGAGCAGCCGACACUGGGACUGAGAACACGGCCCAGACUCCUACGGGAGGCAGC
rnacentral:rRNA from 1 species